CGGGAGGAACACCAGUGGCGAAGGCGGCCUACUGGGCACUAACUGACGCUGAGGCUCGAAAGCAUGGGUAGCAAACAGGAUUAGAUACCCUGGUAGUCCAUGCCGUAAACGAUGAUUACUAGGUGUGGGGAGAUUGACCCUCUCCGUGCCGCAGUUAACACAAUAAGUAUCCCACCUGGGGAGUACGAUCGCAAGGUUGAAACUCAAAGGAAUUGACGGGGGCCCGCACAAGCGGUGGAGUAUGUGGUUUAAUUCGAAGCAACGCGAAGAACCUUACCAGGGCUUGACAUCCUACUAACGAAGCAGAGAUGCAUUAGGUGCCCUUCGGGGAAAGUAGAGACAGGUGGUGCAUGGUUGUCGUCAGCUCGUGUCGUGAGAUGUUGGGUUAAGUCCCGCAACGAGCGCAACCCUUAUUGUUAGUUGCUACGCAAGAGCACUCUAGCGAGACUGCCGUUGACAAAACGGAGGAAGGUGGGGACGACGUCAAAUCAUCAUGCCCCUUAUGUCCUGGGCCACACACGUACUACAAUGGUGGUUAACAGAGGGAAGCAAAACCGCGAGGUGGAGCAAAUCCCUAAAAGCCAUCCCAGUUCGGAUUGCAGGCUGAAACCCGCCUGUAUGAAGUUGGAAUCGCUAGUAAUCGCGGAUCAGCAUGCCGCGGUGAAUACGUUCCCGGGUCUUGUACACACCGCCCGUCACACCAUGGGAGUCAGUAACGCCCGAAGUCAGUGACCCAACCGCAAGGAGGGAGCUGCCGAAGGCGGGACCGAUAACUGGGGUGAAGUCGUAACAAGGUAACCA
rnacentral:rRNA from 1 species